rnacentral:rRNA from 1 species
UGGGGAAUCUUGCGCAAUGCGCGAAAGCGUGACGCAGCAACGCCGCGUGAGGGAAGACGGCCUUCGGGUUGUAAACCUCUUUCAGUUGGGACGAAGCCUCUGCGGUUAAUACCCGUAUGAGGUGACGGUACCUUCAGAAGAAGCCCCGGCUAACUACGUGCCAGCAGCCGCGGUAAUACGUAGGGGGCAAGCGUUGUCCGGAAUCAUUGGGCGUAAAGCGCGUGUAGGCGGCUUGGUAAGUCCGCUCUGAAAGCCCGGGGCUCAACCCCGGGAGGCGGGUGGAUACUGUCAAGCUCGAGUCCGGAAGAGGCGAGUGGAAUUCCUGGUGUAGCGGUGAAAUGCGCAGAUAUCAGGAGGAACACCAAUGGCGAAGGCAGCUCGCUGGGACGUGACUGACGCUGAGACGCGAAAGCGUGGGGAGCAAACA